rnacentral:antisense_RNA from 1 species
CUUCAGCGACCCCAGCCAGAGCGGCUCGUGCGCACCGCGUUCGCGGCCGUACGUGGCCAGCAGCGCCUGGGCCUC